CCUACGGGGGGCUGCAGUGGGGAAUAUUGCACAAUGGGGGAAACCCUGAUGCAGCAACGCCGCGUGAGCGAUGAAGGCCUUCGGGUCGUAAAGCUCUGUCCUAAGGGAAGAAUACUGACGGUACCUUAGGAGGAAGCCCCGGCUAACUACGUGCCAGCGGCCGCGGUAAUACGUAGGGGGCUAGCGUUAUCCGGAAUUACUGGGCGUAAAGGGUGCGUAGGCGGCCCUUCAAGUCAGAGGUGAAAGGCUACGGCUCAACCGUAGUAAGCCUUUGAAACUGUGGGGCUUGAGGGAAGGAGAGGGGAGGGGAAUUCCCAGUGUGGGGGUGAAAGGGUUAGAUAUGGGGAGAAACACCAGUUGCGAAGGCGGCUCUCUGGAUUGUAACUGACGGUGGGGCACGAAAGCGUGGGGGGCGAACAGGAUUAGAUCCCCGAGUAGUC
rnacentral:rRNA from 1 species